GAUGAAGAACGUAGCGAAAUGCGAUAAGUAGUGUGAAUUGCAGAUUUCAGUGAAUCAUCGAAUCUUUGAACGCACAUUGCGCCCCUUGGUAUUCCGAGGGGCAUGCCUGUUCGAGCGUCAUUAUAACCCCUCAAGCUCGGCUUGGUGUUGGGGCCUGCCGCACGGGCAGCCCUUAAAAUCAGUGGCGGUGCCAUCUGGCUCUAAGCGUAGUAAUUCUUCUCGCUAUAGAGUCCCGGUGGAUGCUUGCCAUUAACCCCCAAUUUCAAUGGUUGACCUCGGAUCAGGUAGGGAUACCCGCUGAACUUAAGCAUAUCAAUAAGCGGAGGA
rnacentral:misc_RNA from 1 species